AUCACUAAGCGGAGGAAAAGAAACUAACAAGGAUUCCCCUAGUAACGGCGAGUGAAGAGGGAAGAGCCCAGCACCGAAUCCCCUGCAUUGACUGUAGUGGGAACUGUGGUGUUUGGGAGAGCCUCUGGAGUUGGUGCCUGUCGUCCGAGUCCUCCUGAUCGGGGCCUUGCCCAUAGCGGGUGUCAGGCCUCUAGGACCUCGGGCCCGCUUCUCUGAGCCUCCUAGGAGUCGGGUUGUUUGGGAAUGCAGCCCUAAGUGGGUGGUAAACUCCAUCUAAGGCUAAAUACUGGCACGAGUCCGAUAGCGAACAAGUACCGUGAGGGAAAGUU
rnacentral:rRNA from 1 species